UUUUCUUUAACUAUACAGAUUAGUAUUUAUCAAAAGCACUCCACCGCUAAAACCAAAACCCUUCCCACGUUCUACGACUUCUACCUCUUCCUUCCUUCUCCCACCACGAUUUACACGGUUAAGGAUCUGUUCCCAAUCGAAUUCAAGAGUUUAAUCCCAAUCCGAAUUCAAAAGUUUAAUCCCAAUCCAACUCGACUCAAAGCGAAAUUUCUCAAAUCCAAAUUUACAGAUUUCACUUCAAUCUAAAUCCAGAUAUUUUCUUAUUUAUCUUCUUCUCCAGCGAAUGUUUCUCGGCGGAGAUUAAUAUCUUGCGAACAUUUUUCCCGGCUUCUUGUGGUUGAAUUAUCAAUUGGUUUCGCACCAUUACCGAUUUAGGAGUUUGUUUAGCAUCUAACACCUUCUCAAUCGAGUGUCCUGCACAAGGUAUUACGGCUUGCUCGGAAACUAUGAGAUUUUCUUCUUGUUGGAAUCCAUACUGUCCAGACUGUCAGUUUUCAGAAAGACAGUUGCGUACUGGACUAAGGUCAACUGGAACAAAAUCUUUGGAAUUGCAAGGUGUCCUCGGCAAAAGAAUGUCAUGGAUUUUGGAUAUUAUGUCAUGAGAUACAUGAAGAUUACUUUCCUGAUUGCAAUGUUCCGAAUUAUGAUCAAGGACAAAUUGAUGAAGCCAGAGCUCAAUGGACGCGUCAUGUUCUUCUCGUGUGAAUAUUGUGAUGCAUAAUUAUGUUUUUCGACUAGAAUUUCUCUAGAACGUUUUAAUUUUAUUUUAUUGGUUUGAAAUUAAAAGAAGUACUAUAUGACAACGAUACUUCUUUCUGUUUUCUAGUGUGUUUUUAUUGUACUGUGUAUUUAGGCAUAUAUGAUUUUAAGUUAUGUACGAGACAUCGAGACGUUUAUUUGAUAUGAUAGAAAUGAAGUUGGAUCUUAUAUAUAUUCAAUUUGA